rnacentral:lncRNA from 1 species
CCAAACUUGAUUUCACAUGUGAAAUUUUGUUAUGGCACAAACACAUUUUAGUAAUCAAUUUGUAACACAUUUUAGUAAUCAAUUUGUAGUAGUAUGUUUUAAAAUGUUGAUCAUGUUAUACUUAGUCAAGCAACUAUGAAGAAAAAUCAGGUAUAUCAUGUACCCAAAUUAUUGUAUGUUCAUGUAUAGUUUUUUCCUAAAAUGUAUCUGCUUUACGUUGUCACAAUAUAACCAAAAUUGAUCUUCAUCGUGCGGCUUCAAUUAAUUCUACCACGAUAUAAACUGGAACUGAAAUAUAUUGACGUUUUAAUUAAUUUCGGAAAAUCGAUUCAGAUGUUACUAACACAAAAAAAAAA